rnacentral:ncRNA from 1 species
AUUCUGGUUGAUCCUGCCAGUAGUUAUAUGCUUGUGUCAAAGACUAAGCCAUGCAUGUCUAAGUACACACGAAUUAACAGUGAAACUGCAAAAGGCUCAUUAUAUCAGUUAUAGUUCCUUAGAUCGUUAACAGUUACUUGGAUAACUGUGGUAAUUCUAGAGCUAAUACAUGCAAUUAAAACACGGACCUUUUGGAACGUGUGCUUUUAUUAGUCUAAAACCGAAG